CCUACGGGAGGCAGCAGUGGGGAAUUUUGGACAAUGGGCGAAAGCCUGAUCCAGCCAUUCCGCGUGAGUGAAGAAGGCCUUCGGGUUGUAAAGCUCUUUCGCAAGGGAAGAAAACUUAUAUUCUAAUAAAGUAUGAGGAUGACGGUACCUUGAUAAGAAGCACCGGCUAACUACGUGCCAGCAGCCGCGGUAAUACGUAGGGUGCGAGCGUUAAUCGGAAUUACUGGGCGUAAAGCGUGCGCAGGCGGUUUUGAAAGUCAGAUGUGAAAUCCCCGAGCUCAACUUGGGAACUGCGUUUGAAACUCCAAAGCUAGAGUAUAGGAGAGGGGGUAGAAUUCCACGUGUAGCAGUGAAAUGCGUAGAGAUGUGGAGGAAUACCAAUGGCGAAGGCAGCCCCCUGGCCUAAUACUGACGCUCAUGCACGAAAGCGUGGGGAGCAAACAGGAUUAGAUACCCUGGUAGUCCACGCCCUAAACGAUGUCUACUAGUUGUUGGUGGAGUAAAAUCCAUUAGUAACGCAGCUAACGCGUGAAGUAGACCGCCUGGGGAGUACGGUCGCAAGAUUAAAACUUCAAAGGAAUUGACGG
rnacentral:rRNA from 1 species